GCCGCCCCAUCCAUGCAUCCACCCAUGCUCAUUCGCUCCCCUUCCCGGCCACUUAUCCUAGAGGGCCUCAGCCUCCUAGAGGGCCUCAGCCUCCUCCCACGCCGUUUAUCCCCCGAUGAGGCCGCCACCUCAAUCCCGUGCCCAACUCGGUUCGUCACGAGCAGUGAAGGAAAGAUGACCCCGCCGCCUUGGGUUAGAUAAGCCACUGCGAGCUCGUCCGGGAUCUGAGCGCACCCCUCGCAUCCACCGUUCAUCAUCCACUUGGCCGCAACCAUCCACAAGAAGAGGGGAUGUCACGACAGUCAGGUCAUGGAUCAUCCACUUUGACCUUGCACGUUCGCAACACACUUUCUCUAUACCGAUAUCGUAGUUGCAGAAUGCAGCUACGGUUGGAGGGUCGUCACCGGCGUGGCACCGAUGCGUCCCUUCCCUCUGCCUGGAGCUGCAAGUGGAAGAAGGCCAAUCACCAUGGAAGGCAAGGAAGAAAAAGGAGGUUAUGAUACCAACAACCAUCAACCAUUAGGAGGAGGAAUAUAAAACAAGUUCAGAAGCCAUGGACCAUGCUCAGCCUGAUUUUAGGCACCCUCAAGUAUAGGUAAUACAUCAGUUUGAUGGCACGAACAGCUUACUCCCUGAAUAAAAAAGGUUCUUUGCUUGAAUAUGUAUGUCUCUGACACAUGGUUGAAAAAGGAUAAAACUAGAAAAGCAAAAGAGGACCCUAAGCUUUUUAGUAUCAUCUUGUUCUGAGGCCACAAUCCUGUAGCAUACUAGCAUGUGUUCCGCUAAGUUUUUCCCAAUUUUAUUAGUUUGUGCCUUGAAUACGAUCAUCGCAGGUUUAUCCAUUUAUCAUUUCGAUACUUUCUUAUUUCUGCAAUAACAACAAAUGGUAGCUAGGUUGCAAUCUGUAGAGAAAGGAAUGUUGUAUACCUAGGUUAUACCUAGGUUAUUUAUUUUAUACUUUGCGGUUUGUCAACACUUAGUAAUCCAAAUAUGUAUAUGUUUGCUAUUUGUUCACUUUUCCUUAUUUGUUCACCGAAUAAUGUUUGUGCAUUAGUACUUCUAUCAUUAAUCUACCUUAUAUAAGUACUACUAUCAUUAACCUACCCUGAGUACCCUAGGCGCGGUUUUUGCUUCUCUGGGUUGCCUAAUUAAAGAUUGUGCUUCUAGAGGCACCGAGAGUAUCUCAGUUGCAAUCAUCUGUCCUUUUAAACGAGUUUUGAAUAUUUUCCUCUUUUUGUAUACAAUUAACCUAUUCUUGAAGGGUAGUACCUAUUUUGGACAAAAUGUUUAUAUCUAUUUUCUAACACUAUCAACUCAUUCAUGUCAUCUUUGAGUACGGGAAGCUAUGAAGUUCAUUCAACCAUGCUUUAGUUUUCCACAGAAGUACGACAUGGGCUAAGAUGAUGCAAAUUUCUUGCUUUUGCGCAAGUUAUCUUUCUUGGGCUUAUGGUCUGCGCAUAAGGAUAUGUUUUUUCCCGCUAUUGUUUGCAAAACCAUGAAAUGUUCAUCAAUUUGGGAAAAGGUCAUGAAUUUUAAAAAAUCCCAAAUAUUAAAUUAUACACAAAUUAAAAAAUAUUUGGGAAUUCAAAAAUUAUUCACGGAUUUAAAACUGUUCAUGAAUUUAGUUAUUUUCAGAGAAUUUUAAAAAUAUUCAUGAAUUUUAUAAAACAAAUGGAAAAAGGAGAAAGGGAAAUGAAGAAGGAAAAUGAGAAGGAAAAAAAAAUAUAACAUGGAAAUUAAAAAUGGAAAAAGAAAAAUACUCCCUCUGUAUUUAUAUUAGUUUACAGAGAGAAUAGAUUAUAGAAAGAGAAGGACAAGUAGAGAAACAAAGAAAAGAUAAGAAAAUGGUCACAACCUUCCCAAAAUUAGGCGAAGGUCCCAAAACAGCCGUGAGCUCUGUUAUAGAUGGUUUACUGUACCGCCGGAUAGCCACGCUGAUGGGUUGGCCCAUGAGAAGGGCUGCUUGGGCGAUCAAUAUUGUACCACUUGUAAUGAGUUUUUUUUCAGGCAACCACUUAUAAUGAGUGAUACAUCGAAAUCACUAAUUAAGGAGUACUUAUUGCAAAAAACACUCCACUUUUUCAGGUCGCGACAAGUGGCACACAUGCAGCAUGCCACUUGUCGCAACCUGAAGUUCUCCCUUUUU